rnacentral:misc_RNA from 1 species
CGCCAUUCCAACUCCAAAAGAAAUCAUGACUAUGCACGUCCAUAGUAGCCUUGAGAUUGGAAAUUUAAAAAUUUUUAAUAAAUGGACUUCUAACAAUGGAAGAUAAUGGUAAGCAUAUUUGGGUAACACCAUCUGCUGCCUUCUGUUUUAGGUCACAACAGCUAUUUUUUUUUAAUCUUCGGGAAUUUUGUUCUUCCACUUGAUAUUUAUUUCAGAAUUGAAGGUAUCCCUUCAUAUAUUACAACCGCCACAGGAGGUUAUAAUCUCUGAGACUUGUUUGUGAUCAUGAUCUUGG